rnacentral:rRNA from 1 species
UUCCCCUAGUAACUGCGAGUGAAGCGGGAAAAGCUCAAAUUUAAAAUCUGGUAGUCUUUGGCUGCCCGAGUUGUAAUCUAGAGAAGCGUUUAUCCACGCUGGACCGUGUAUAAGUCUCCUGGAAUGGAGCGUCAUAGAGGGUGAGAAUCCCGUCUUCGACACGGACUCCCAGGGUUUUGUGAUGCGCUCUCAAAGAGUCGAGUUGUUUGGGAAUGCAGCUCUAAAUGGGUGGUAAAUUCCAUCUAAAGCUAAAUAUUGGCGAGAGACCGAUAGCGAACAAGUACCGUGAGGGAAAGAUGAAAAGAACUUUGGAAAGAGAGUUAAAUAGUACGUGAAAUUGUUGAAAGGGAAACGCUUGAAGUCAGUCGCGUUGACCAGGGAUCAACCUUGCUUUUUGCUCGGUGUAUUUCCUGGUCAAUGGGUCAGCAUCAAUUUUGAUCAAUGGAGAAUGGUUGGAGGAAUGUGGCAUCUUCGGAUGUGUUAUAGCCUCUGAUCGUAUACAUUGGUUGGGAUUGAGGAACUCAGCAUGCCGCAAGGCCGGGUUUUUAACCACGUUCAUGCUUAGGAUGCUGGCAUAAUGGCUUUAAUCGACCCGUCUUGAAACACGGACCAAGGAGUCUAACAUACCUGCGAGUGUUUGGGUGUAAAACCCGAGCGCGUAAUGAAAGUGAAAGUUGGGAUCUCUGUCGUGGAGAGCACCGACGCCCGGACCAGACCUUUUGUGACGGAUCCGCGGUAGAG